rnacentral:piRNA from 1 species
UCCACCUGGGACUCUGCUGUGCUGCGGGCUU